GAACACUAAGGUACGUCGUGUAGCAUACGCGCCGCCGUUCUUUGCUAUUCGACCACUCUGUUCGUCGUGUACAAUACGCGCCACCGCUCUCUGCUAUUCGACCUAUGAAGGGUCCUGAAACAGCAGCGCCUCAUAUCUCUCCCAACCUCACAAUGCUUCAAUCCACAACUCUUGGAUCAUACAAUUUAGCUUGUGCAGAUCAUUGACAUUCAUACCAGAAAGGUCUUCUCCUAACAGCUGCCUGCAAGAAUGGUGCAAGUGGGUACGAAUAAAUAUAAGACCAUAUUAAGCUGAUGAAGAGGUAAACUUUUAAAGCUUAUUAACUCUGCUCUAUAGUUUACAAAUUUAUAACAGUAUACACUUUCUCAUUCUUGACCUGUUAGACACACUACUUGAUAUAAUCCAAAUGUGCACAUAUAAGGUUCUUUUAUGGGAUCUUCUACAUCUGAACAUAUAUAAUCCAAAUGCUACAUACACUUGUAUACCAACAUCAAUAAUAAUUUGUAGUUUCCUUAUUAAUAUUCAGUAUUAAUGUUUAUGGUGCAUUGUUAUUCCUCUAGUUAUAUAAGGAUUUAGUUUUCUCUGAUAUUGUGUUUAGUCCUGCAUUGGCUCCAACGCUCUGGUUGACCUACACAUUUCUAUACGUAUUUAGGCAGUUGAAACUGUGUGUACCUAAUUGAAUGGUCAAAAUGUAAUCUAAAACAAAUCUAAAGAUAGAAGAAUUUCUAGAGGAAGAACAUGGGUGAGUGGGAAAUCUUUUUUGCACACGGUGGUUGGAUGGUUUCUAUUGGUAUAUGAGAUACUUGGUCUUGUAGGAUAAAAAUUAAAAAUAAGAAAAGACAAUUACUUAGCAUAGAGACACAAUAGAGACAAACGCGCAAGAUGGAGGUGGCAGAGAUGAGGAUGCUGAGGUGGAUGUGUGGAAACACGAGGUUAUACAGGAUAAGAAAUAAGAUUUUCAGAAAUAAGCUAGGAGUGGCUAGUAUAUCUGAUAAGAUUAAGGAGGGGAGAUUGAGAUGGUUUGGGCAUGUGAAGCGGAGGCAAAUGACGGCGCCACUUAGAGCGUCAAAACCCUCACUGUGGAGGGGAUGAGGGGUAGAGGCAGAACCAAACUGACAUGGAAUGAGUGUAUUAGGAAUGAUUUACUAGAGUUGCACCUUUCUGAGGACAUGGUCCAAAAUAGGACUUCGUGGAGGCGAAAGAUUAUGGCUAAGGAUUUCUAGGGAAGAGUCCAAUAGGGUUUUAGUUGUGUCCUAGGGCUUAGUUUUGACUUUACAGGUGAUUAUCUUCUUGUUUUUAUGUGUGUGUGUGUGUGUGUGUGUUCUAAAAUUUUAUUGUGUUACUCUCUCAUUGCCUCCUUGGAUAUUGGUAACUUCCUAUUUAUAUACUUUUUGGGUAUGUGUUUUGGUCUACUAUCUCUUGUUGAGCUGAGAGUCUCUCUGGAAGCAACCUCUCUAUCUCUAGGGAUAGAGGUAAGGUUUGUCUACAUCUCACCCUCCCCAUACCCUACAAGUAGCUUGCCUAUUUGUGGGAUUUACUGGGUAUGAUUGUUGUUGUAACUUUUCUAGGUAGGCAAAGGCGCAAAGGUCUGCUUGUCGUCUAGGUGCAAGGCACAAGAAAAGUGCACGCCCAAGACUAAUACUAUACUAGGAAACAAUCAAAACAAUUUGGGAUUGAGUUUGGAAAUGACUUAAUUGAUUUAGUGAAGUUGAAAAGUGUUUUGACAUUGCUAAAAGUGUUUUAUAUAUUGGCUUUUUGAAAAGAAGUAAAAAGUUGUUUUUCAAAAGUCAUUAACACCUCGUUUUUUAAAUAUCUUUUUAAACAUAAAAUACCAAUUUAUCCCCACCCUUUAAAAUAGCAACCAAACAUGGAAACUUACCCCAUCCUUCUUGGGCGUUUUACUUUUCUCACCACAAAAAUUAAUCUAAACACUUUUCUAAAAACUACUUUUGAAAAAGUUAUAAGUCAAUAAACACUUUUAACAAAAAAACACUUUUUGAGUUAAAUAAGCAAAUUCCAAACACCCUUAGC
rnacentral:lncRNA from 1 species